CUGGGCAGCCUCAGGGCAGAGCCCAGGACGCGCCUCCCACCAUGGCCUGGGUCCUCAUCUACAUGCUGUCGCUGCUGGUCAGCACGGGGCUCUGUGCUCGGCCUGUGCUGACCCAGUCCCCGUCUGCAUCCUCCUCCCUGGGAGGCUCGGCCACACUCACCUGCACCCUGAGCAGUGAGCAUAGCACGUACUUUAUUCAGUGGUAUCAGCAGAGUCCUGGGCAGGCCCCUCGGUAUCUGAUGAAGCUGACCAGUGACGGAAAAGUCACCAGAGGGGACGGGAUCCCCGACCGCUUCUCCGGCUCCAGCUCCAGGGGACCGCUACCUGACCAUCAGCAGCCUCCAGUCUGACGACGAGGCUGAUUACAUCUGUGGUGUCAGCUAUAAUGAUGGUGGCCAAAGUGGGUACCACAGUGACUCAGACAAAGGGGAACAGCAGGACCACGGUCCCCUCAGGACCCGCUUCCAGCAGGGCCCAGCCCUCUACUUGAUGACCUCGUCCCCACAGAGGACACCUGUGCGUCUCCAAGACACAGAGGGGACCCUGUGA